UACGAAGGGGGCUAGCGUUGCUCGGAAUCACUGGGCGUAAAGGGCUCGUAGGUGGCCAACUAAGUCAGACGUGAAAUCCCUCGGCUUAACCGGGGAACUGCGUCUGAUACUGGAUGGCUUGAGAUUGGGAGAGGGAUGCGGAAUUCCAGGUGUAGCGGUGAAAUGCGUAGAUAUCUGGAGGAACACCGGUGGCGAAGGCGGCAUCCUGGACCAACACUGACACUGAGGAGCGAAAGCCAGGGGAGCAAACGGG
rnacentral:rRNA from 1 species